rnacentral:rRNA from 1 species
ACCUACGGGACGCAGCAGUGGGGAAUAUUGCACAAUGGGCGAAAGCCUGAUGCAGCAACGCCGCGUGAGCGAUGAAGGCCUUCGGGUCGUAAAGCUCUGUCCUCAAGGAAGAUAAUGACGGUACUUGAGGAGGAAGCCCCGGCUAACUACGUGCCAGCAGCCGCGGUAAUACGUAGGGGGCUAGCGUUAUCCGGAAUUACUGGGCGUAAAGGGUGCGGAGGUGGUUUCUUAAGUCAGAGGUGAAAGGCUACGGCUCAUCCGUAGUAAGCCUUUGAGACUGGGGGACGUGAGUGCAGUAGAGGAGG